rnacentral:misc_RNA from 1 species
GUAAAUGUAAUAUGUACUUGGUACUUCUAAAGAGACCUAUGAGAUUAGUUAUCAAAAUUGUGCACUGUUCAUUUGUAAUUAGAUGAGGAUUUUUAUUAUUUUAUUUUCUUUCAUUAAUUUUUGGCACAAAUAGUCUGAGUUGGGCAUCGUCUAUUAGAAGUAGACAAGUUCAACACUGUGGAGGUAAUCUCUGUACUGUUGUUGUCAAUAAACCCUUCAGUGUUAAUUAAUGAUGUGGACUUCUCUAAUUCAAAA